GUAAAAUCCAUGGUUCCUGUUGCUGAAGGCGUCUUUAAGGCUCGAACAAUACUCUAUCAUGGCGUUUCUGCAUUAAUGCAACGUUUCCCAACUUGGGCAUGCAAAUACUGUCCAGAAGUAUAUAUUGGUGAGAACGGUCAUUUGAUACAAACUUGUCAUGGUUACCGGCGGCGCGCUAAGAACCAGGCUCAUGAGUGGAUUAGAG
rnacentral:misc_RNA from 1 species